UGGGGAAUAUUGGACAAUGGGCGAAAGCCUGAUCCAGCCAUGCCGCGUGUGUGAAGAAGGUCUUCGGAUUGUAAAGCACUUUAAGUUGGGAGGAAGGGCAGUAAGCGAAUACCUUGCUGUUUUGAUGUUACCGACAGAAUAAGCACCGGCUAACUCUGUGCCAGCAGCCGCGGUAAUACAGAGGGUGCAAGCGUUAAUCGGAAUUACUGGGCGUAAAGCGCGCGUAGGUGGUUCGUUAAGUUGAAUGUGUAAGCCCCGGGCUCAACCUGGGAACUGCAUCCAAAACUGGCGAGCUAGAGUAGGGCAGAGGGUGGUGGAAUUUCCUGUGUAGCGGUGAAAUGCGUAGAUAUAGGAAGGAACACCAGUGGCGAAGGCGACCACCUGGGCUCAUACUGACACUGAGGUGCGAAAGCGUGGGGAGCAAACAGG
rnacentral:rRNA from 1 species